rnacentral:tRNA from 1 species
GUCCCUAUCGUACAGCGGCAAGUACGCCGGCCUCUCACGCCGGAAACGAGCGUUCGAUUCGCUCUAGGGACGCCA